AUUGAACGCUGGCGGCAGGCCUAACACAUGCAAGUCGAACGGUAGCACAGAGAGCUUGCUCUCGGGUGACGAGUGGCGGACGGGUGAGUAACGUCUGGGAAACUGCCCGAUGGAGGGGGAUAACUACUGGAAACGGUAGCUAAUACCGCAUAACGUCGCAAGACCAAAGUGGGGGACCUUCGGGCCUCACACCAUCGGAUGUGCCCAGAUGGGAUUAGCUAGUAGGUGGGGUAAUGGCUCACCUAGGCGACGAUCCCUAGCUGGUCUGAGAGGAUGACCAGCCAAACUGGAACUGAGACACGGUCCAGACUCCUACGGGAGGCAGCAGUGGGGAAUAUUGUACAAUGGGCGCGAGCCUGAUGCAGCCAUGCCGCGUGUAUGAAGAAGGCCUUCGGGUUGUAAAGUACUUUCAGCGGGGAGGAAGGCGGUGGAGUUAAUAACUUCACCGAUUGACGUUACCCGCAGAAGAAGCACCGGCUGACUCCGUGCCAGCAGCCGCCGUAA
rnacentral:rRNA from 1 species